rnacentral:tRNA from 15 species
GCGGCCUGGUGCGGGGUCACGGGCUUCAAACCAACCUUCGGCGUGGUGCCGCU